GGGAUUGCCUUAGUAACGGCGAGUGAAGCGGCAAAAGCUCAAAUUUGAAAUCUGGUACCUUUCGGUGCCCGAGUUGUAAUUUGGAGAAAGUGAUUCUGGGACUGGCCCUUGCCUAUGUUCCUUGGAACAGGACGUCAUAGAGGGUGAGAACCCCGUGAGGCGAGGUGAUCCAGUUCUUUGUAGAACGCUUUCGAAGAGUCGAGUUGUUUGGGAAUGCAGCUCUAAGUGGGUGGUAAAUUCCAUCUAAAGCUAAAUACAGGCGAGAGACCGAUAGCGAACAAGUACAGUGAUGGAAAGAUGAAAAGAACUUUGAAAAGAGAGUGAAAAAGGACGUGAAAUUGUUGAAAGGGAAGGGCAUUUGAUCAGACAUGGUGUUUUGUGCCCCUCGCUCCUCGUGGGUGGGGGAAUCUCGCAGCUCACUGGGCCAGCAUCAGUUUUGGCGGCAGGAUAAAUCUCUGGGAAUGUGGCUUCUUUCUUCGGGAGGGAGUGUUAUAGCCCAGGGGAAUACUGCCAGCUGGGACUGAGGUAUGCGACAUUUUGUCAAGGAUGUUGGCAUAAUGGUUAUAUGCCGCCCGUCUUGAAACACGGACCAAGGAGUCUAACGUCUAUGCAAGUGUUUGGGUGUGAAACCCGUACGCGUAAUGAAAGUGAACGUAGGUUGGGGCCCUUCCUUCUGGGG
rnacentral:rRNA from 1 species